rfam:Staphylococcus saprophyticus strain CNV2 Spades_3, whole genome shotgun sequence.
AAUCCACCUAUGAGAGUAGGAACCCCACCAUAUGGGGAUUUCGAAAUCAUAGGUUUUUG